rnacentral:rRNA from 1 species
AUGAAUCGGCAAUGGAUGUACGGUAACCGACUCUCCCGCGAGUUCACUACGGGUUUGAAAGAUUUCCUCGUAGUGGCUAAUGCGAACAAGCAGAAGGGUUUUGUUAUCUGUCCAUGUGUUGACUGUAAGAAUCAGAAGGGUUACUCUUCCUCAAGAGAAGUUCACCUGCACCUGCUUCGGCAUGGUUUCAUGCCAAGCUAUAAUUGUUGGACCAAGUAUGGAGAAAGAGGGGUUAUAAUGGAAGAAGAUGAAGAAGGGGAUGAUUUCAUCGAUGAAAGCUAUCUUGCUCAUUUCGGUGAUACUUUCAUGGAG